rnacentral:antisense_RNA from 1 species
UGACACCCAUAAGCGUUACUUA